GAUGAACGCUGGCGGUAUGCUUAACACAUGCAAGUCGAACGGACUCUUCGGAGUUAGUGGCGGACGGGUGAGUAACGCGUGAGAAUCUGGCUUUGGGUUCGGGACAACCACUGGAAACGGUGGCUAAUACCGGAUGUGCCGAGAGGUAAAAGAGAAAUUGCCUGAAGAUGAGCUCGCGUCUGAUUAGCUAGUUGGUGAGGUAAAUGCUCACCAAGGCAGCGAUCAGUAGCUGGUCUGAGAGGAUGACCAGCCACACUGGGACUGAGACACGGCACAGACUAAUACGGGAGGCCGGAGUGGAGAAUUUUCCGAAAUGGGCGAAAGCCUGACGGAGACAUACCGCGUGAGAGAAGAAGGCUCUUGGGUUGUACACCUCUUUUCUUAGGGAAGAACAAAAUGACGGUACCUAAGGAAUAAGCAUCGGCUAACUCCGUG
rnacentral:rRNA from 1 species